rnacentral:tRNA from 2 species
GUGAGUGUAGUUUAGUGGCAGAACGCGCGACUGUGGCUCGUGUAACGGGAGUUCGAUUCUCCCCAUUCACC